CACGCCGUCUAGAUCUACAAGUCACCUCACAGACGUCCACUCAACACUUACUUUGAAUUUGAUACACAAAUUAUUGAUGGGGUUGCAGUGUCUGCGCAUAAUGCAAUGAUCGCUUCAUCUCAGAGCUGCCAUGGGAGAGGUGAUGGCCUGCGCUCUGGCAACACACACCCUGUUUCCCCUUCUGACAGCGCCGUGGACAGAAACCUGAGGCACCAGGCUCCAGGAUCGUAAGAUGGUGGUGAACAGAAGGAUGGAAGAAAGACUAUAAAUAUACAUCUCAGGUCCAAACGCUGACACUGGAGAAAAAACAGCUGGAAUUGAACAUCGGGAAUUUCUGCUCCCUAGUGCAACAAGGGCUGCGCUCCACUACCAUAGUAGCUGUACUCUUCUAUAAUUAGGUGUCACCAAUUCCCCGUCCUCAUCUGCUUUGAGUUGGAAAGACUCCAUGGGCCAGAAAUCAAGCAGCUGAUGUCUGUUGUUUUCUUCAUAUCUGAAGGUAUUUCCAGAUGAAGAUGAAGAGGGGAGGAAGCUCAUUGGAAGUACUAAGACAGAUCCAGAGGCUGGUCCAUCCACUCUCCUCUCCUUCCCCUGAUACAUGUGAUGAAUCACCACUGACUGCACCCACAUCUCUCUCUGUCAGACAGGGGCCGACCCCAGUCUAAUAUACACACCCCUAGGACCCACUCAUAUUUCUCCAUCGCACUCCAUCCAUGGCUCUCUUUUUCUCCAUUCUUCACUCUCUCACCUUCUUUCUUUCCUCAAGUUUUCCCUGUUUCUCGUCGCUGCCACCCCUCCUCCUCCUCCUCCUCCUCCUCCUCCUCCUCCUGUCCUCCUUUUUUCAGACUCUUCUUUAUUUCCUCCAUGCUCUCAAAUCACCCUCUCUGAAUUUCCCACAUGAAAAAUAAAGUAUCCCUAUCGCACUACUCAUCUUUACUA